rnacentral:rRNA from 1 species
AGCGAACGCUGGCGGCGUGCCUAACACAUGCAAGUCGAACGUGAAAGGGAGCAAUCCCAAGUAAAGUGGCGUACGGGUGAGUAACACGUAGGUAAUCUACCCCAGAAUCUGGAAUAACCGGCCGAAAGGCUGGCUAAUACUGGAUAGAGCGACGGAAUCCGUAAUUGGGUUUUUCGGGAAAGGGAGCCUGUAAAAAGGCCUUCGUUCUGGGAUGAGCCUGCGUCCCAUCAGCUAGUUGGUGAGGUAAAAGCUUACCAAGGCAAUGACGGGUAGCUGGUCUGAGAGGACGAUCGGCCACACUGGAGCUGAAACACGGACCAGACUCCUACGAGAGGCAGCAGUGGGGAAUCUUGCGCAAUGGACGAAAGUAUGACGCAGCAACGCCACGUGAGUGAAGAAGGCCUUCGGGUUGUAAAGCUCUGUCGAGUGGGACGAAAAUGCUUGGAGUUCACAGCUCCAGGAACUGACGGUACCACUAAAGGAAGCACCGGCUAACUCCGUG